CCCUUAGAUGUUCUGGGCCACACGCGUGCUACACUGAGUGGAUCAGCGGGUCAGGUUGCGCGAAAGUGUUUCCUAAUCUUGAAAUCCGCUCGUGAUGGGGAUUGACGGUUGCAAUUUUCCGUCAUGAACGAGGAAUACCUUGUAAGCGCGGGUCAUCAUCCCGCGCUGAAUACGUCCCUGCCCUUUGUACACACCGCCCGUCGCUCCUACCGAUUGAGUGGUCCGGUGAGGCUUUGGGAUCUGAGCAAAAAGAGCGUUUCGCUCGUUUGGCUCGGAAAACUCAGUCGAACCUUAUCAUUUAGAGGAAGGAGAAGUCGUAACA
rnacentral:rRNA from 1 species